UACACACGGAUAACAUACCGAAAGGUAUGCUAAUACGGGAUAAUAUAUUUGAGAGGCAUCUCUUAAAUAUCAAAGGUGAGCCAGUACAGGAUGGACCCGCGUCUGAUUAGCUAGUUGGUAAGGUAACGGCUUACCAAGGCAACGAUCAGUAGCCGACCUGAGAGGGUGAUCGGCCACAUUGGAACUGAGACACGGUCCAAACUCCUACGGGAGGCAGCAGUGGGGAAUAUUGCACAAUGGGCGAAAGCCUGAUGCAGCAACGCCGCGUGAGUGAUGAAGGCCUUCGGGUCGUAAAACUCUGUCCUCAAGGAAGAUAAUGACGGUACUUGAGGAGGAAGCCCCGGCUAACUACGUGCCAGCAGCCGCGGUAAUACGUAGGGGGCUAGCGUUAUCCGGAUUUACUGGGCGUAAAGGGUGCGUAGGCGGUCUUUCAAGUCAGGAGUGAAAGGCUGCGGCUCAACCGUAGUAAGCUCUUGAAACUGGGAGACUUGAGUGCAGGAGAGGAGAGUGGAAUUCCUAGUGUAGCGGUGAAAUGCGUAGAUAUUAGGAGGAACACCAGUUGCGAAGGCGGCUCUCUGGACUGUAACUGACGCUGAGGCACGAAAGCGUGGGGAGCAAACAGGAUUAGAUACCCUGGUAGUCCACGCUGUAAACGAUGAGUACUAGGUGUCGGGGGUUACCCCCUUCGGUGCCGCAG
rnacentral:rRNA from 1 species